AUUGAACGCUGGCGGCAUGCCUUACACAUGCAAGUCGAACGGCAGCACGGGAGCAAUCCUGGUGGCGAGUGGCGAACGGGUGAGUAAUAUAUCGGAACGUGCCCAGUCGUGGGGGAUAACGCAGCGAAAGCUGUGCUAAUACCGCAUACGAUCUACGGAUGAAAGCGGGGGAUCGCAAGACCUCGCGCGAUUGGAGCGGCCGAUAUCAGAUUAGCUAGUUGGUGAGGUAAAGGCUCACCAAGGCGACGAUCUGUAGCUGGUCUGAGAGGACGACCAGCCACACUGGAACUGAGACACGGUCCAGAGUCCUACGGGAGGCAGCAGUGGGGAAUGUUGGACAACGGGCGCAAGCCUGAUCCAGCAAUGCCGCGUGCAGGAUGAAGGCCUUCGGGUUGUAAACUGCUUUUGUACGGAACGAAACGGUGAGCUCUAAUACAGUUUGCUAAUGACGGUACCGUAAGAAUAAGCACCGGCUAACUACGUGCCAGCCGCCGCAGUAAAAC
rnacentral:rRNA from 1 species